CGAUCAGAUACCGCCCUAGUUCUAACCAUAAGACGAUGCCAGCCAGCGAUCCGGCUGUGUUCCUCAAAUGACACGCCGGGCAGCUUCCGGGAAACCAAAGCUUUUGGGUUCCGGGGGAAGUAUGGUUGCAAAGCUGAAACUUAAAGGAAUUGACGGAAAGCCACCACCAGGAAUGGAGCCUGCGGCUUAAUUUGACUCAACACGGGAAAACUUACCCGGCCCGGACACAGGAAGGAUUGACAGAUUGAGAGCUCUUUCUUGAUUCUGUGGGUGGUGGUGCAUGGCCGUUCUUAGUUGGUGGAGUGAUUUGUCUGGUUAAUUCCGAUAACGAACGAGACUCUAGCCUACUUAAUAGACGUCCCGAUCAACUUUGUCGGGCGUUCUUCUUAGAGGGACAGGCGGCGUUUAGCCGCACGAGACAGAGCAAUAACAGGUCUGUGAUGCCCUUAGAUGUCCGGGGCCGCACGCGCGCUACAUUGAAGGAAUCAGCGUGUGCUUUCCUUGUCCGACAGGACUGGGUAAUCCGUUGAACCCCCUUCGUGCUGGGGAUAGGGAAUUGCAAUUUUUUCCCUUGAACGAGGAAUUCCUUGUAAGCACGAGUCAUUAGCUCGCGUUGAAUAGGUCUCUGCCUUUUGUACACACCGCCCGUCGCUACUACCGAUUGAAUGACGUAGUGAGGUGUUCAGA
rnacentral:rRNA from 1 species